AUGACUUGCUGUCCAGGCAGCUCCCUCUCCUGCAGACAGAAUGCUCAGGGUCACUGAACCACUGCUUCUCAUUAGAGAGUAGAGCUAGCUGCCACUUUCCUGUGGCCUCCAGAGUGUCUCCAUCUAACCUCUGUACUCUCCUGCCACAUUGAUGGCUCAAGACAAGGCUGGCAACCCCCUCGCCCAGCAACACCCCUGAUUCAGAGAGGCUUUCUCAUGAGGCAUGGCCAAGCCAAACAUUCAUGUUGUGCCAGUGAGCUAGCCAUGGAGCAGAAGAGGGUUUGUUUUCAGCCCCCUCCAUCUGGGUCAGAAACAGAGAGCAUGCUGAAGGCUCCCUGCUUGCUUAGUAAGGCUGCCCCACCCGAGUCAUUGCUCCCAGGUGACUGCAAUGCUUGUAGAAGUAGGAAACCUAGUCCUCACUGGGAUGUACAAGAAGAAGGGCAAGUUCCCAAGUGCCUCACUUCGAAAGGAGGCCCUGUUCCCUGGAGUCAGGAUAUAUUGCAAAGCUUUGGCUGGGAUGGGAUCUGAGAUGCCAUGAACUGUGCUGAAUAGUCACUGUUCAGCAAACUAACCAGCAUUCCCUACAAUAUAGCCCAGGGCAGACAAUAGUAUAGAAGAAGUCCAGAAAAAAACAGAACAGUGUUUUGAGAAACUUGGACUAGUCUUGUACCUCAGUCUGGAUUUGCUGUAAUGAGAUUGUAAGUGUAUAAUUCUAGAUGCUCUGCCCACUGUUCAGCCCCAGUGGUGGAAGGGAGGAGGGCCUUUCCUGCGUUGAUUGAAUAGAGGCUACAGGGGUUAGACUGGACUAAAGGCAUCCUUGUCUUUCUGAGCUGUUCAUCUCAGUAGGAAAAAAUCUAAUGGGAGAUCACUGUAGUUUAGAUCUGCUGACCUGUGUGCCUACCCCUUGGAAAUGUCUGUUGGGUACUUUUAAUUCCACAGGUCAUCAGAUGCCUGCUUGAUAAUAUAUGAACAAUAAAAACAACUUUCACUUCUUUCUAUUGUGAUUGUGUUCCAUGGAUCUAAUCUAUACCGUGACCCCACACAAGGCUGGAUGGAGAACUUGGGCUGAGGGCCUCAGUGUGUGUGGGUGUGUAGGUGGGGGUGUGUCUGCUGGGUAAUGCUAUUUUCAAGAUUCUGAAGCUCAGUUCAACUGAUGCAUUAAAUGGGAAACUCAGAUCUGAUCAAGAGUCUGGAUUGCUAAGUCCUGCCUUGCUUUGUGGGUGUGCUGACAACUUAUUUGGGUGCCUUACAUCUUUUCUAAUCAGUGUUGCAUAUGAGCCGUCCUCAUUCUUUCUGUGGAAUCCCUUGGCACUUGAGAGCCAGGUGCAAACCCAAAGUGGCUGUUAGAAAAGGGGUCUGGCUAGAGAAUUAUCAGUCAAGCGAUUUUCAGGAUUCCCUUCUGGGCUUCAUUUUGGAAACUGUUCUUGGGGCUGUUGUUAUUAAGUGCCCACAUUUGAUGGAGGGUGGAAGUAAUUUGAAUGUAUUUUUUGUUGUUGUGUUUUUUUUUUUUUUUUAGAUCAAAGAUUGUAGCAUUUAAAAUGGAAAUUUUUCCUCUUGAAUUGCUAGUAUCUUGAGUGUAUUCUCUGUAAGUGUAGCUCAAAUGGGUCAGCAUGAAAGAGUAAGAAAGCAAGGUGGCAGUGUUACGCUGGUGGUUAAGGCCAGGGCCUCUCCUGCCACUGUGCCACUGACUUGCUAUGUGACCCUGGGCAAGUCACUUAACUAUAAUGUGCCUCACUUUUCCUUCUGUUAAAAUGGGAAUAAUAAUACUGACCUACCUCAAAGGGCAGUUUUGAGGCGUGACUAAUGCUUUUUUUAAAGCAUUUUGGGAUCUUUCAGCAGAGGAAUUCUCUCAAGUCCUGAGUAUUUUUAUAAUAGCUGUGUCCACCAUGAACUUGGUAUGUCCAUGUGUCCUGGAUGCUAUCAUUAGACUAUAUGGUUCUCUGAGAAAUUGAAUGAAUUCAUUGGAUAAGUGGUGGAUAACUAGCAAGACAAAAUUUGAGAAUUCAUAAGUUCAUUGCCAUGGAAACAUACACAGGAUACCUUUUCCUUGAUUGGGUGGGAUUUUUCCCUUUUUAUGUGGGAUAGUAGUUAUUUGUGAUCUAAGAAUAAUUUUGGAAUAAUUUCUAUUAAUAUCAACUCUGAAGCUAGUUGUACUGAUCUGAGAUUGUGUUUGUUCAUAAUAAAAGUGAAGUGAAUUUGA